UGAGGCUAAAACGGUCAUUUCAUUAAUCAGUUUAGUGUUCAUAACUAAAACCCUCAAUCAUACACAUUCCCGAUUCUAAAGCAAAGAAAUCACAAACAAAAAUUUUCGAUUGAAAUCAUAACAGUUUGGUUCUUGUAUGAAUAGUCACAUCGAAGUCUAAGAGAAGAUUGAAUGGAGACGUUGCACCAAAAUAUUUAGGUAUUAUUGCAAUCUUGAUAACCUGCAACACCCAAAAAGGGAAAAAAUUAUAAGUGACCCAUAUUUUUAAAACCUAGAUGGACAACAUCUUCGUGGGCUGGGAAAUGGUGGUUCAGAAACCUCAAUUGGUUAGAGGAGAUGUCUAUGGGUUUGGGCAGAGAGAGUGGAAGGAGUAGCUUACAUAGCUUCCAUUUGAGCUGGGGGAAUUGAAUCGACCAUCGGGAAGAUGAAAGUUGCGUUUGGUUCUAGUUCUGGUUAUGGGUUCGACGGGUUGCACAGAUAGAAGGAAGAAAUGAAGAGGAAAGAGAGAGAGAGAGAGAGAGAGAGAGAGAGAGAGAGAGAGAGGGUAUGUGUUUGGUUCUGGUUCUGA
rnacentral:lncRNA from 1 species